AGCCAGGAUAGUUUAAUAGGUUAAAACUUUAAUUUCAUAUAUUAAUAAUGAGAAUUCGAUUUUCUCUCCCGGCUA
rnacentral:tRNA from 1 species